GAGUUUGAUCCUGGCUCAGGAUGAACGCUAGCGAUAGGCUUAACACAUGCAAGUCGAGGGGCAUCGAGGGUAGCAAUACCUGUCGGCGACCGGCGCACGGGUGAGUAACGCGUAUGUAACCUGCCCGCAACAGAGGGAUAACCCGGCGAAAGUCGGACUAAUACCUCAUAAAACAGGGGUUCCACAUGGGGCUAUUUGUUAAAGAUUUAUUGGUUGCGGAUGGGCAUGUGUACCAUUAGGUAGUUGGUGAGGUAACGGCUCACCAAGCCAUCGAUGGUUAGGGGUUCUGAGAGGAAGGUCCCCCACACUGGUACUGAGACACGGACCAGACUCCUACGGGAGGCAGCAGUGAGGAAUAUUGGUCAAUGGGCGAGAGCCUGAACCAGCCAAGUCGCGUGAAGGAUGACUGCCCUAUGGGUUGUAAACUUCUUUUACAGGGGAAUAAAAUGAGAUACGUGUAUUUUAUUGCAUGUACCUUGUGAAUAAGCAUCGGCUAACUCCGUGCCAGCAGCCGCGGUAAUACGGAGGAUGCGAGCGCUAUCCGGAUUUAUUGGGUUUAAAGGGUGCGUAGGUGGGCUGUUAAGUCCGCGGUGAAAGUUUGUCGCUUAACGAUAAAAUUGCCGUUGAAACUGGUAGUCUUGAGUAUAGAUGAAGUAGGCGG
rnacentral:rRNA from 1 species